CCUACGGGAGGCAGCAGUGAGGAAUAUUGGUCAAUGGACGAGAGCCUGAACCAGCCAAGUAGCGUGAAGGAUGACUGCCCUACGGGUUGUAAACUUCUUUUAUAUGGGAAUAAAACGUUCUACGUGUGGGACUUUGUAUGUACCAUAUGAAUAAGGAUCGGCUAAUUCCGUGCCAGCAGCCGCGGUAAUACGGAGGAUCCGAGCGUUAUCCGGAUUUAUUGGGUUUAAAGGGAGCGUAGGUGGAUUGUUAAGUCAGUUGUGAAAGUUUGCGGCUCAACCGUAAAAUUGCAGUUGAAACUGGCAGUCUUGAGUACAGUAGAGGUGGGCGGAAUUCGUGGUGUAGCGGUGAAAUGCUUAGAUAUGACGAAGAACUCCGAUUGCGAAGGCAGUUCGCUGGAGUGCAACUGACGCUGAGGCUCGAAAGUGUGGGUAUCAAACAGGAUUAGAUACCCGAGUAGUC
rnacentral:rRNA from 1 species